UACAGAGGGUGCAAGCGUUGCUCGGAAUUAUUGGGCGUAAAGGGUGGGUAGGUGGUCCCGUUUGUCUAAGGUGAAAGCCCUAAGCUUAACUUAGGAAGUGCCUUAGAAACGGCGGGACUGGAGUCCUAGAGAGGUUCGUGGAAUUCCCGGUGUAGCGGUGAAAUGCGUAGAGAUCGGGAGGAACACCAGAGGCGAAGGCGGCGAACUGGAUAGGUACUGACACUAAACCACGAAAGCGUGGGUAGCAAACAGG
rnacentral:rRNA from 1 species